GAAAACAAGCGAAAGAGGACGCGGAGCCCUCGGAAACAGGGAAGAAAAGAGAAAAAAAAGAAAAAGAAUAAGACCGCUGUCCCAGCAGGGACAAAUGAGUCUGAGGGGGAUGGAGAUACGGGAGGAGGUGUGGUGAUGUGACGGAACAGUUGGAGCAGCAAGCCCUGCCCGAGGACAUAGAUAAGGAGGAUGAUGGAGAGGAGGAUGGAGAAGAGGGUGAAAACUCAGCAGGGAAGAAGAAGAAGAAGAGGAAGAAGAAGAAGGGAGG